rnacentral:rRNA from 1 species
AUACGUAGGGGGCGAGCGUUGUCCGGAAUUAUUGGGCGUAAAGCGCGCGCAGGCGGUCCUUUAAGUCUGAUGUGAAAGCCCACGGCUCAACCGCGGAGGGUCAUUGGAAACUGGGGGACUUGAGUGCAGGGGAGGAGAGCGGAAUCCCACGUGUAGCGGUGAAAUGCGUAGAGAUGUGGAGGAACACCAGUGGCGAAGGCGGCUCUCUGGCCUGCAACUGACGCUGAGGCGCGAAAGCGUGGGGAGCAAACAGGAUUAGAUACCCUGGUAGUCCACGCCGUAAACGAUGAGUGCUAAGUGUUAGAGGGGUCACACCCUUUAGUGCUGCAGCUAGCGCGAUAAGCACUCCGCCUGGGGAGUACGGCCGCAAGGCUGAA